rnacentral:rRNA from 1 species
GACGAACGCUGGCGGCGUGCUUAACACUUGCAAGUCGAGCGGAGCGGCGAACGGGUGAGUAACGCGUGAGUAACUGCCCCCCUCUCUGGGAUAACAGUUGGAAACGGCUGCUACUACCGGAUAGUGGGGGCGGACUCGCGUCCUAUCAGCUUGUUGGUGGGGUAGUGGCCAACAAAGGCCACGACGGGUAGCCGGGCUGAAAGGGCGACCAGACACAUUGGGAUGAGAUACGGCCGAAACUGCUACGAGGGGGAGAAGAGGGGAAUAUUGCAAAAGGGGAGAAACCAUGAUGCAGCAACGCGAGUGCGGGAGGACGGACUGCGAGUUGAAAACCGCUAUCAGCCAUGACGCAGUAGUGACGGAAGAAGCACCGGCUGACUACGUGCCAGCAGCCGCGGUAAUUC